GCCAGACUCCUACGGGAGGCAGCAGUGGGGAAUAUUGCACAAUGGGGGAAACCCUGAUGCAGCGACGCCGCGUGGGCGACGAAGCGCUCCGGCGCGUAAAGCCCUGUCAGCAGGGAAGAACAAAGACAGUACCUGACCAAGAAGCCCCGGCUAACUACGUGCCAGCAGCCGCGGUAAUACGUAGGGGGCAAGCGUUAUCCGGAUUCACUGGGUGUAAAGGGAGCGUAGACGGCGACGCAAGUCUGGAGUGAAAGCCCGGGGCCCAACCCCGGGACUGCUCUGGAAACUGCGGCGCUGGAGUACGGGAGGGGCAGGCGGAAUUCCUGGUGUAGCGGUGAAAUGCGUAGAUAUCAGGAGGAACACCGGCGGCGAAGGCGGCCUGCUGGACCGUGACUGACGUUGAGGCUCGAGAGCGUGGGGAGCAAACAGGAUUAGAUACCCCCGUAAGC
rnacentral:rRNA from 1 species